rnacentral:rRNA from 1 species
ACCCGCUGAACUUAAGCAUAUCAAUAAGCGGAGGAAAAGAAACCAACAGGGAUUGCCCUAGUAACGGCGAGUGAAGCGGCAACAGCUCAAAUUUGAAAUCUGGCGUCUUUGGCGUCCGAGUUGUAAUUUGCAGAGGGCGCUUUGGCAUUGGCAGCGGUCCAAGUUCCUUGGAACAGGACGUCACAGAGGGUGAGAAUCCCGUACGUGGUCGCUAGCCUUUACCGUGUAAAGCCCCUUCGACGAGUCGAGUUGUUUGGGAAUGCAGCUCUAAAUGGGAGGUAAAUUUCUUCUAAAGCUAAAUACUGGCCAGAGACCGAUAGCGCACAAGUAGAGUGAUCGAAAGAUGAAAAGCACUUUGGAAAGAGAGUUAAAAAGCACGUGAAAUUGUUGAAAGGGAAGCGCUUGCAGCCAGACUUGCCUGUAGUUGCUCAUCCGGGUUUUUACCCGGUGCACUCUUCUAUAGGCAGGCCAGCAUCAGUUUGGGCGGUUGGAUAAAGGUCUCUGUCACGUACCUCCUCUCGGGGAGAACUUAUAGGGGAGACGUAAUGCAACCAGCCUGGACUGAGGUCCGCGCAUCUGCUAGGAUGCUGGCGUAAUGGCUGUAAGCGGCCCGUCUUGAAACACGGACCAAGGAGUCUAACAUCUAUGCGAGUGUUUGGGUGUCAAGCCCGAGCGCGUAAUGAAAGUGAACGGAGGUGGGAACCUUUCGGGGUGCACCAUCGACCGAUCCUGAUGUCUUCGGAUGGAUUUGAGUAAGAGCAUAGCUGUUGGGACCCGAAAGAUGGUGAACUAUGCUUGAAUAGGGUGAAGCCAGAGGAAACUCUGGUAGAGGCUCGCAGCGGUUCUGACGUGCAAAUCGAUCGUCAAAUUUGGGCAUAGGGGCGAAAGACUAAUCGAACUAUCUAGUA